CGAAAAGCUUCGGCGCUGGAGGAUGGGCCCGCGUCCCAUUAGUUAGUUGGUGAGGUAACGGCUCACCAAGGCGACGAUGGGUAGCCGGCCUGAGAGGGUGAACGGCCACACUGGGAUUGAGACACGGCCCAGACUCCUACGGGAGGCAGCAGUAGGGAAUCUUGCGCAAUGGGCGAAAGCCUGACGCAGCGACGCCGCGUGAGGGAAGAAGGCCUUCGGGUCGUAAACG
rnacentral:rRNA from 1 species